rnacentral:rRNA from 1 species
AGUGAACGCUGGCGGUAGGCCUAACACAUGCAAGUCGAACGGCAGCACAGUAAGAGCUUGCUCUUACGGGUGGCGAGUGGCGGACGGGUGAGGAAUACAUCGGAAUCUACUUUUUCGUGGGGGAUAACGUAGGGAAACUUACGCUAAUACCGCAUACGACCUACGGGUGAAAGCAGGGGAUCUUCGGACCUUGCGCGAUUGAAUGAGCCGAUGUCGGAUUAGCUUGUUGGCGGGGUAAGGGCCCACCAAGGCGACGAUCCGUAGCUGGUCUGAGAGGAUGAUCAGCCACACUGGAACUGAGACACGGUCCAGACUCCUACGGGAGGCAGCAGUGGGGAAUAUUGGACAAUGGGCGCAAGCCUGAUCCAGCCAUACCGCGUGGGUGAAGAAGGCCUUCGGGUUGUAAAGCCCUUUUGUUGGGAAAGAAAAGCAGCAGGUUAAUACCCCGCUGUUCUGACGGUACCCAAAGAAUAAGCACCGGCUAACUUCGUG